GUUAUAUUUGUUUGUAUAUUUACUCUGAGUAGUCAGGUCAGGUCCAGGCCAUGUGUUGUUUGUUGUUAUAUUUGUUUGUCUAUUUACUCUGAGUAGUCAGGUCCAGACCAUGUGUUGUUGAUUGUUGUAUUUGUUUGUCUAUUUACUCUGAGUAGUCAGGUCCAGACCAUGUGUUGUUAGUUGUUAUAUUUGUAUGUCUAUUUACUCUGAGUAGUCAGGUCCAGAACAUGUGUUGUUAGUUGUUAUAUUUGUAUGUCUAUUUACUCUGAGUAGUCAGGUCCAGAUAAUGUGUUGUUAGUUGUUAUAUUUGUUUGUCUAUUUACUCUGAGUAGUCAGGUCCAGACCAUGUGUUGUUAGUUGUUAUAUUUGUUUGUCUAUUUACUCUGAGUAGUCAGGUCCAGACCAUGUGUUGUUAGUUGUUAUAUUUGUUUGUCUAUUUACUCUGAGUAGUCAGGUCCAGA
rnacentral:lncRNA from 1 species